rnacentral:rRNA from 1 species
AACGUAGGAGACAAACGUUUAUCCGGAGUUACUGGGCGUAAAGGGCGUGUAGGUGGUUUCGUAAGUCUGGCGUGAAAUAUCUCGGCUUAACCGAGGCAGGUCGUCGGAUACUGCGGAACUAGAGGACGGUAGAGGCGUGUGGAAUUCCGGGUGUAGUGGUGAAAUGCGUAGAGAUCCGGAGGAACACCAGUGGCGAAGGCGACACGCUGGGCCGUACCUGACACUGAUGCGCGACAGCAUGGGGGAGCAAACAGG